UCAGCUGUGCGUGAGUAAAUCGGCUAUAUCAGGGGUAUAUCUGGUAGUAAGGUGUAUAAGGUACAAGACUGUGGUAUACGGAGUAUGCACAAAAGAUAUAUACAUGUAUAUUAAAGUCAAAGUGUCUAACGUCACGGAAGACAUACGAUUCUUAGAAUCGGUAAAAAUAUUUUGUAAAACAAAAAGUGCUUUCGUUUCAUAGCCACGCGGAAGUGGCGGCUGCAAUGGGAACGAGAUUUAAAGAAACAGCUUUACGUUAUUGCAUAGGACUGGUAACGUACGUAUAUGUUAAUGAUGAAGAAACGAUCUCGCUCCGGGUACGUGACGGCCAACAACGACACGACCUCCAUCUACAUCAUCUUACUCGUCUCUUCGUUUUUCACCUCGCAGAUCUAUGUAGGUUAAAUCUUGAUGGAAAACUGUAUUACCGACGAGUUUUAUGAUGCUUAAUUCGCACUAUCGGUAAAUCAACUGUUUGUCCGUUUGAAAUGGAAAAUCAUGGAACGUUGUACCUUUCAUUGCUCUAGUUUCAGUUCCUUUUCGUGAAUUGUUCGAUUCAGUUUUGUAUUGGUACAACUAAUUAAGAAAUUAGAGCAGAAUUAUAUGGAAAUUAAGAAUGUGACGGAAAAUUCAAAAAUCUAUUGAUUCUAUGAACAUGUGUUAUAUGUGUCAGGAUUGACGGAGACUUCAAUGACUGAAACGGUAUGCUGGAACUGUGUUUCGUUAAACAAUCGAUAUUGACAUUAGGUGUCUUAUAGAUUUUAUUAAAAAUUUAUACAUGCACUAUAUCGAAGCGUAUAUAUAAAUACAUAAAUUUGAAAAUCCCUAUAAUUAAUUAUUGAUCAAUUUUGAAAUCGGCUUAAUCAUUAAAGCGGUCUCGAACGUGCGAAAUUUCAUAUAGGAACGAAGGACGCAGAUUUCAACAACGUCGUCUUGGUCGUGGUUGUGGGGUGUAUUGAUCCCCGCGCCGCUGACCAGCGGUCAAUGAGAUACGGUCUUUCCCUCUGGUUCUCUCUCUCCUUCUAUCUCUCAUUCUCUCUCUCUCUCUCUCUCUCUCUCUCUCUCUCUCUCUCUCUCUCUCUCUCUCCCUCACCCUCUUCAUUACAGACUUGCCUCGUGGCCUCAGGAACUUCAACCAUCGUGCAGGGGUGCAGCGUGCACCUACCUGCUUGGCGGAAGUGGAAGUCGCCCCCCCCCCCUCAACCACGGUAUCAUAUCGCCACCCAAUCGCCACCCUGACGCGGUACCAGAGUCCAGCCGGACCUGAUGUGAUUCAUGCGGCCUUCCAACUGAGUCUGGACUACUAGCCAAGGAAAUCAGCCCAGAGCAUAUCCAACGUUCGAUCGGCGACUCUUCUCACCGUUUCACCCCCUUGUCAAGUCAUUCUACACUCAGCCCGGCCACGUGGUGCUGGUAAACACCAGACGUCAGGACGUCGUCAGGCACCGAUCAGCGCAUCCCUCGCUUAAUCAACAAAGUACCUGUGCUGCGCCCGACUCGACAACUGCUGACCUCGUCCUUGAUACCAGUUAUUCGUUCCGUAACUCACCCCAUUCAAAAUCCCGGCAGCCAUCAAUCAGAUAAAAAUGACCGAGGGGUUGAGUGUGGAUAUUAUUCGCGUGGUGUCUGGUAACGAAGACUGUCCGAUGGGGAUGAUUAUAAGAAGGCUGUAUCAUGGAUAAUAGGAAAAAGCAGAUAUUACCCAUAACCUAUUAUUGAUUACGAUGCUGUGGUGGCACACCUUAAAACCUAGAAAUCACUGAGGGUGUGUCGGGCUAUCUAACUACCCUUAGUAUUCCUCACCUGCAUUCUGUAUGAAUGUGGUACGUAGUUUAUAACGGGGUAGCUGGACGUAGACAGAAAUGUUUCUUUUUAUCACAAAUUGGUUAUGCGUUUAUUUUAUAAGGGUGACGCGCUUCUUUAAGAAUUCCCACAGUCACUAAUCUAUUUUACGGGCGCAUAAUAAAUAGAAAUGAGGAAUGUGUGAAUGCGAGCGGAAGUUGAAGGAUCGCUAGCUGGUUGCGCAUAGCCGACUUUGGUCAACAAGGUCUCGGCAACCAGGCCAGGGAGAGGGGACCUUCCUUAUUCUUAGCUGGCAAAACAGAAUCGCAUUGCGUGCCGCCAGGUUGCCGUUGAUCUGGGCCAGAUACACACAAACACAACCUACUAACGGUUUAUACGCAGUUUUAUUAUAAAUCACUUUAUCGCAGUGUUGGCACUAUUUCGCGAGGCAGCCUGAAGCGUCAUAGUGCACUUUAAUAAAGGUUAAUGUGAUAUUUAACAGUUGCCUCAAUUCUGAGGAAUAGACCAUUGGUCCAGGUGUCAUGUUUGACAGAUCAUUUAUUUACUCCUAAUGUUUCAAAUUUCUGCGGAAUAGCUGA